AUGCCUACAGUACUGACAGGUGGGUCUGUCCCUUCACAAUCAACCUCAGUACAUUUUAGUCACCAGAACAAACGUCUCAGUUUUGGCACAACAGGAAAUCCUACUUCCCACUCUAUGGAUAAUAAAGAUGACUGCCUAAAUGGGUCAUCGCCAAACUGCCCUCUACUUCCUAAAUACGUUUUGACAAGUAGCAGAGAAAUUGACAAGAUAACAAGACGCCGGUGUAGAGCGCCGGCUACAAGACGCCGGACAAGAUGCCGGACAAGACGCCAGAUAAGACACCAGACAAGACGCCGGUGUAGAGCGCCGGCUACAAGACGCCGGACAAGAUGCCGGACAAGACGCCAGACAAGACACCAGACAAGACGCCGGUGUAGAGUGCCGGCUACAAGACGCCGGACAAGACGCCGGACAAGACGCCGGACAAGACGCCAGACAAGACACCAGACAAGACGCCGGUGUAGAGUGCCGGCUACAAGACGCCGGACAAGAUGCCGGACAAGACGCCAGACAAGACACCAGACAAGACGCCGGUGUAGAGUGCCGGCUACAAGACGCCGGACAAGAUCCCAGACAAGACGCCAGACAAGACACCAGACAAGACGCCGGUGUAGAGUGCCGGCUACAAGACGCCGGACAAGACGCCGGACAAGACACCAGACAAGACGCCGGUGUAGAGUGCCGGCUACAAGACGCCGGACAAGACGCCGGUGUAGAGUGCCAGCUACAAGACGCCGGUGUAGAGUGCCAGCUACAAGACGCCGGUGUAGAGUGCCAGCUACAAGACGCCGGUGUAGAGUGCCAGCUACAAGACGCCGGUGUAGAGUGCCGGCUACAAGACGCCGGACAAGACGCCGGACAAGACGCCGGUGUAGAGUGCCAGCUACAAGACGCCGGUGUAGAGUGCCAGCUACAAGACGCCGGUGUAGAGUGCCAGCUACAAGACGCUGGUGUAGAGUGCCAGCUACAAGACGCCGGACAAGACGCCGGUGUAGAGUGCCAGCUACAAGACGCCGGUGUAGAGUGCCAGCUACAAGACGCCGGUGUAGAGUGCCGGCUACAAGACGCCGGUGUAGAGUGCCGGCUACAAGACGCCGGUGUAGAGUGCCGGCUUUUAUUUAA
rnacentral:lncRNA from 1 species